UGAGUAACACGUGGGUGAUCUGCCUCGUACUCUGGGAUAAGCCUGGGAAACUGGGUCUAAUACCGGAUAUGACCACGAAUCGCAUGGUUUGUGGUGGAAAGAUUUAUCGGUGCGAGAUGGGCCCGCGGCCUAUCAGCUUGUUGGUGGGGUAAUGGCCUACCAAGGCGACGACGGGUAGCCGACCUGAGAGGGUGACCGGCCACACUGGGACUGAGACACGGCCCAGACUCCUACGGGAGGCAGCAGUGGGGAAUAUUGCACAAUGGGCGAAAGCCUGAUGCAGCGACGCCGCGUGAGGGAUGACGGCCUUCGGGUUGUAAACCUCUUUCGACAGGGACGAAGCGCAAGUGACGGUACCUGUAGAAGAAGCACCGGCCAACUACGUGCCAGCAGCCGCGGUAAUACGUAGGGUGCGAGCGUUGUCCGGAAUUACUGGGCGUAAAGAGCUUGUAGGCGGUUCGUCGCGUCGAUUGUGAAAACUUGCAGCUCAACUGCAAGCUUGCAGUCGAUACGGGCGGACUAGAGUACUUCAGGGGAGACUGGAAUUCCUGGUGUAGCGGUGAAAUGCGCAGAUAUCAGGAGGAACACCGGUGGCGAAGGCGGGUCUCUGGGAAGUAACUGACGCUGAGAAGCGAAAGCGUGGGUAGCRAACAGGAUUAGAUACCCUGGUAGUCCACGCCGUAAACGGUGGGUACUAGGUGUGGGUUUCCU
rnacentral:rRNA from 1 species